CUCUUUCUCCUCCCCUUCUCCUCCUCCUCCUCUUUCUUUUCCCCCUCCUCCUUCAGCGUUUUCCUUCCCCUCCUCUUCCCUCCCCCUUCCCUCCUCCCCUUCUUCCUUCUUUACCUCCUUCCCCUCUUUCUCUUUUGCCUCCGCCUCCGCCUCCGCCUCUGUCUCCUCCAAUCUGACGGAUGAACCGAAGCAGCAGAAACUGCAGUUGUAGACACAGGGUAUCUCAACAGAGCAAUAGAUACCGCUAGUGUGUGAUUAUUUAUAUAGCUCAGGGUGUGUUGGUAUAUAAUCUGCAGAGACGGGGGGAGGGGAGUGAAAUUGCAGUGUGUUCAGCUCAGCUAGCUGGCUGUUUUGUGAAUGUACAUGAUUUCUGAAGGUCUUGUGAAUGGAUUAUAGGGGAGGAUGGGAGGAAAGGGAUUUAUUGCUCCUUGUUAUAAUUUCUUUCUCUCUCUUUCUCUGUGUCGUUUGCUUUCCCGGAGCUGUAGCUCUUAAUGCUUAGCUAAGUGGCGUCAUCCAGUUGAAAUUGAAUCGACCCAUUAGAACUCCCCAUAGGAAUCUCUGUAUCCGGUCCUUGGGUAUUGUGGAUUCAAUAAGGAAGACAGAAUCCCUGCCUUCAUGCAGCCUCCUUAGGACUGCCAGUCUUCUGAAAAUAAAGCAGCUUUGGACAUUUUCUCUUAAAAUGAAGGACAAAGUUUUCUGUAAAUUAUCCUCAGUCCACUAAUUAAGUAGAAAUGGGUCUUCCUUUUGGGCAUCCAAACAGAAGCACUUGCAUGAAAACAAGUCUCAUAUUUAAAAUAAAAGAGAUCUGAUUUCAAGUCCUGCUUCAAUGGACAAGUAGCAAGAGCUUGAUCAUCAACAUUCUUAGGAUGCCUUGCUUACCCCAUCUAUAAAAAUGAGAUGGUAAAUGGUGACAGUUCUGAGUAAAACAAACCUGUGUGAGUCACGAAACUGAGAUUCUUAAUCUUACUCUAACUCCUUGUGUGACCUUUGUAAUUUACUCUCCCUCUAGUGCCUCAAUUUCUACAUUUACAUGAGAAGAUCUGAUUAGGUAAUUGCUAAGAUCCCUUCUAGCUCUGACAUUCUAUUAUUUACACCCUCUCAGGAGGAUUAAGAAAACAAAAGAAAGCAUGGGAUUAAAAAUAUAUAUGGUUGUGUGGGUCUGCAUGCUCAUAUGUGUAUGUGUGUGUCAAAGGUGCUCCAAACUCUUUUGUUGAUGGGUAGGUACGUAUAGUGUAUACACACACAUAUACGUACAUACAUACGCGUGUGUGUGUCUAUAUAAUUUCUAAGCAAAUCCAGUUCUCUUCCUAAUCAGAAUUUCUAGAGUCAAGAGAUUUGCCUAUGUAAAUUCUUCUCUUUUAUGGCUCAAACAUCUUCUUUACUCUUAAUAUUGACUUGAGCUUAUCAAGAUCAUGAAAAACAUUAAAGCUAAUCUGUAGUUUUAUCUGCAGAAGAGGAAAGAUUUACUGAUAUAUUCAUUCACCCAUUUUUUCAACAGGUAUUUAUUGCACAUCAACUAUGUGCCAAGUACUGAACUAACUAGAUUUGGGUCAAACAAAUCAGGGUUCAAAUUUUUGCUCCUAAAUUUAUGAGCUAUCUGACUUUGGACAUCUCAAUUCACGUCUCUGAACCAGUUUCCUCCAUUCAUCUAUAAAAUGAAGGUAACAAUAGUCCCCACAUCACAGAAUUGUGCUAUUUCCUAUAGAUUGAAUAAGGUCUUGCAUUUGAAAGUCUUAUCAUGUGUCUGGCAUAUAGUAAGUGUUCAAUGAACAGUAAAUAUGAACAUUAAGAAAAUUAAGAAAUUGUUCUCACCCUAAUGAAGCCCAUAGGAGAGGGAGAGAUGAUUUCAAUUUGAAAUCCUUUUAUUUUUUUAAGCUCCAUUUUUAAAUUUGAGCAGAUAUAUGCCAAAUAUAUCUUUCUUAAAUGUGGCUUAUUUUCAUACUUUAUUCCUUUGUUCAAAAACUUCUUUCUAAUUCCUAGAGCAUUAAGUUUAAAUUGCUUUGCCUGUCAAUCAAGUUAUUCUGACUCUAUACAUUCCACUUCUCAACAUACCUUUCAACAUAAGAUAAGUUGAGUGUUUGACUCUUCUAAGAUACCAAUCCAGCUUUCCAUAUGUAUCCUUCACAUGACUUGUGUAUAUUUAUUCAUUUUCUACUUUGGGGUCCUAAUUCUUCUGUGAAUACUUCCCUGGCUCUAAGGCUCCUUUCUGUUCUAAAGCUCUAUGAUAGUUUUUACUAAUACCCGAACUUAUUUCUACAUUUGUAACUCCUAUAACACUCUCAUCUAUGUUCUGUCCUGGUUAUUCAGUAGACUUUGUUAGAUACUUUACCUUCUUUCAAAAUCUUUUUGACUUAAUUGUCUUAUCAGAAAUGAUUUGGACAACCAGUUUGCUCUAAGUAUGGAAGGGUGUGUUUAAUUAAUUAUAAAACUAUAACUUAGAGAUUUCUAAAACAUAGUAGUAAGGAAGAUAUUUGGAGGGCAGAGUGAUUUUUCUGGUGUUCUUCAAGGUUACUUAUUUAUUUUUUGAAAUUACUGGCUUUUAGAAAUAGGUGGGUUGAGGGCGCCUGGGUGGCUCAGAUGGUUAAGCGUCUGCCUUCGGCUCAGGUCAUGAUCCCAGGGUCCUGGGAUCGAGUCCCACAUCGGGCUCCCGGCUCAGCGGGGAGCCUGCUUCUCCCUCUGACCCUCUCCCCUCUCAUGCUGUUUCUCUCUCGCUCGCUCUCUAAAAAAUAAAAAAAUAAAAUCUUAAAAAAAAAAAAGAAAUAGGCGGGUUGAUCUGUGCUAAGACAGUAUUUCCAAAUUCAACUGGAUUUGCGUUAAUGUCAGCAAGGUGUCUAUAAAGAGAAAAAAAACAUUGGAUUGGGAGACAGGAGACCUGUGUUUGCUCUAGGCCAACACUGUCACUAACUAGCUGUAUGAUCUUAGACAAUUCAAUGAAUAUGUCUAAAUGUGUUUCCUGAAAAGCACACCAUUAACUAAAGAGCUAAGAAAGCAUGUUUCCUGAAAUA